UGGCUAUUCCGCGCGAUUCAAACUAUUUCAUGAUAGUCGAAUCGUACCAAGUAGCCGGC
rnacentral:pre_miRNA from 1 species